UGUGCAAUAUGGGAAAAAUAUGCUGUUUUUUGAACAUUUAACCAUGUAAACCUGUUCUGGUACAACCCCUAAACAAGAUUUUGAACCUGAAAAUGAGCAUAAUACCACCUCUUUAAGCAUAAAGUUUCCAUUAAACGGAAAGAGGAUUGCUGUUGUGGUGGCAGCCCAGCUGACGCCAACUACCUGCACCUGCAACUCAUCAUCCACCUCGUCAGCCUGCCACACCUGCCAGUAAUCAACCUCAUCCCAGCCUGUGUUUCAACCCCGGUUCUCCACACCAUCCUUGCUUGAUCAUCGCUGCUCCAUACCUGGUACACUCACCCUCGUCCUCCGUUCGGCUGGGCUCGUCCACUGGCCCACUCCUCUCCGG